CCCAGACUCCUACGGGAGGCAGCAGUGGGGAAUAUUGGACAAUGGGGGGAGCCCUGAUCCAGCGACGCCGCGUGAGUGAAGAAGUAUUUCGGUAUGUAAAGCUCUAUCAGCAGGGAAGAAAGAAAUGACGGUACCUGACUAAGAAGCCCCGGCUAACUACGUGCCAGCAGCCGCGGUAAUACGUAGGGAGCAAGCGUUGUCCGGAAUUACUGGGCGUAAAGGGCGCGUAGGUGGGCGCUUAAGUCAGGUGUGAAAACUCCGGGCUCAACCUGGAGACUGCACUUGAAACUGGGUGUCUUGAGGGCAGGAGAGGAAAGUGGAAUUCCUAGUGUAGCGGUGAAAUGCGUAGAUAUUAGGAGGAACACCAGUGGCGAAGGCGACUUUCUGGACUGUACCUGACGCUGAGGCGCGAAAGCGUGGGUAGCGAACGGGAUUAGAUACCCGCGUA
rnacentral:rRNA from 1 species